rnacentral:rRNA from 1 species
AUUGAACGCUGGCGGCAGGCUUAACACAUGCAAGUCGAGCGGAGAUGAGGUGCUUGCACCUUAUCUUAGCGGCGGACGGGUGAGUAAUGCUUAGGAAUCUGCCUAUUAGUGGGGGACAACAUUCCGAAAGGAAUGCUAAUACCGCAUACGUCCUACGGGAGAAAGCAGGGGACCUUCGGGCCUUGCGCUAAUAGAUGAGCCUAAGUCGGAUUAGCUAGUUGGUGGGGUAAAGGCCUACCAAGGCGACGAUCUGUAGCGGGUCUGAGAGGAUGAGCCGCAAGACUAGGACUGAGACACCGCCCAGACUCCUACGGGAGGCAGCAGUUGGGAAUAUUGGACAAUGGGCGGAAGCCUGAUCCAGCCAUGCCGCGUGUGUGAAGAAGGCCUUUUGGUUGUAAAGCACUUUAAGCGAGGAGGAGGCUACUUAGAUUAAUACUCUAGGAUAGUGGACGUUACUCGCAGAAUAAGCACCGGCUAACUCUGUGCCAGCAGCCGCAGUAAAAC